rnacentral:rRNA from 1 species
UACAGAGGGGGCAAGCGUUGUUCGGAAUUACUGGGCGUAAAGGGCGCGUAGGCGGCCUUCUAAGUCGAACGUGAAAUCCCCGGGCUCAACCCGGGAACUGCGUCCGAUACUGGAAGGCUUGAAUCCGGGAGAGGGAUGCGGAAUUCCAGGUGUAGCGGUGAAAUGCGUAGAUAUCCGGAGGAACACCGGUGGCGAAGGCGGCAUCCUGGACCAACACUGACGCUGAUGAGCGAAAGCCAGGGGAGCAAACGGG